rnacentral:misc_RNA from 1 species
GAAAUGCGAUAAGUAGUGUGAAUUGCAGAAUUCAGUGAAUCAUCGAAUCUUUGAACGCACAUUGCGCCCCUUGGUAUUCCAUGGGGCAUGCCUGUUCGAGCGUCAUUUGUACCCUCAAGCUCUGCUUGGUGUUGGGUGUUUGUCCCGUCUCCGCGCGUGGACUCGCCCCAAAGUGAUUGGCAGCCGGCGUACUGGUCCCGGAGCGCAGCACAUGUCGCGCAAACGAGUGCCUUGGUACGGCGGCGUCCAUAAGCCCCUCACUCACGCUCUUGACCUCGGAUCAGGUAGGGAUACCCGCUGAACUUAAGC